ACGGGGGGUGCAAGCGUUGUUCGGAAUUAUUGGGCAUAAAGAGCGUGUAGGCGGCCUGAUGUGUCAGAUGUGAAAGCCCUGGGCUUAACCCAGGAAGUGCAUUUGAAACUGUCAGGCUUGAGUAGGGGAGAGGGAAGUGGAAUUCCUGGUGUAGAGGUGAAAUUCGUAGAUAUCAGGAGGAACACCGGUGGCGAAGGCGACUUCCUGGCCCUAUACUGACGCUGAGACGCGAGAGCGUGGGUAGCAAACAGGAUUAGAUACCCUGGUAGUCCACGCCGUAAACGAUGUUCACUAGGUGUUGGGGGUAUUGACCCCCUCAGUGCCGGAGCUAACGCAUUAAGUGAACCGCCUGGGGAGUACGGUCGCAAGACUA
rnacentral:rRNA from 1 species